UAUAUAAUCUACACAUCAGACUGGCAGUGGAAAUCACACAACACAUCAACGUCAACAUUAAACAUGUUCUCUUUGGCUCUGCUGCUGCUGUUGGCAGCUGGACCUGGUGUGAAGUGUGAAACACUGACACAACCAGCCUCUGUGAUUCUGCAGCCAGGUCAACGUCUGACCAUCACCUGUCAGGUCUCUUAUUCUGUGGGCAGCUACUACACAGCUUGGAUCAGACAGCCCGCAGGAAAAAAACUGGAGUGGAUUGGAAGCAAAUAUACUAGUGGGACACUCCACAAAGAUUCACUAAAGAAUAAAUUCAGCAUUGACGUACAUGCUUCAAACAAUAGAGUGACUCUGAAUGGACAGAAUAUGCAGCCUGAAGACACUGCUGUGUAUUACUGUGCAAGACACUCACAGUAA